rnacentral:rRNA from 1 species
UACAGAGGUCUCAAGCGUUGUUCGGAUUCAUUGGGCGUAAAGGGUGCGUAGGUGGCGUCGUAAGUCAGGUGUGAAAUCUCGGGGCUCAACCCCGAAACUGCACUUGAUACUGCGAUGCUCGAGUACUGGAGAGGAGAUUGGAAUUUACGGUGUAGCAGUGAAAUGCGUAGAUAUCGUAAGGAAGACCAGUGGCGAAGGCGAGUCCCUGGACAUCUCCUGACACUGAGGCACGAAAGCUAGGGGAGCAAACAGG